GAGUUUGAUCGUGGCUCAGAUUGAACGCUGGCGGCAUGCCUUACACAUGCAAGUCGAACGGCAGCAUGAUCUAGCUUGCUAGAUUGAUGGCGAGUGGCGAACGGGUGAGUAAUACAUCGGAACGUGCCCUGCAGUGGGGGAUAACUAGUCGAAAGAUUAGCUAAUACCGCAUACGACCUGAGGGUGAAAGUGGGGGACCGCAAGGCCUCAUGCUAUAGGAGCGGCCGAUGUCUGAUUAGCUAGUUGGUGGGGUAAAGGCCCACCAAGGCGACGAUCAGUAGCUGGUCUGAGAGGACGAUCAGCCACACUGGGACUGAGACACGGCCCAGACUCCUACGGGAGGCAGCAGUGGGGAAUUUUGGACAAUGGGCGAAAGCCUGAUCCAGCAAUGCCGCGUGUGUGAAGAAGGCCU
rnacentral:rRNA from 1 species